rnacentral:piRNA from 1 species
UGCGAUCAGGUCACCCAGGUC